AAGGCUUCAGUACGACCCAGUCAGAACUAUAAGUCUCAAAGCCCCGACGAGUAGGGUGGCGUGCCGGUGAGCGUUGAAGGCCAAGACGUGAGUCAGGCUGGAGCCGCCGGUAGUGCAGAUCUUGGUGGUAGUAGCAAGUACUCUGGUGAACCAACCUGGAGCUGUGAGGUCUGGAUCAGGGUUCCAUGUCAACAGUGAUUGAACAUGGGUGAGUCGAUCCUAAGCCAACUGUGAAAGCAGUGACAUCCCGACAAAGGGGGCAACUCGGUUGGCGGUACACACGGGCGCUUGUGUGCACAUUCGCAAGUCUCCUCUCUCUCGUCGCGCGCGCACGCUAAAUUCCUGGUUAAAAACCACUGUGGUUUGUAGACCUCCUGGGGCGUGCGUGUGUGUGUGUCUGUCUCUGGUUACGCUCGAAAGCGUUACGAAAAAUCGAGAGAGAGAAAACGAGGCAGUGCCGCGCCUGUGUGUGCGUUCUCGGUUUCAAGGCUCCCUGCGUCUGGUUCUAUGUCUGGCGAAAGGGAAUGGGGACUUUGUUCCUUGACCGGUCCCGGCACCCUCGAUAGGCUUAUGCCAAUCAAUGGUCCAUGCAAAUGGAACCAGGCCACAGCCGCCGGCAGUCGCCCGAGGAAGAGUUUUCUUUUCUGCUUAACGCACGAGAUCAUCCCUGGAAACAGUUCGGCUGGCGAAAGGGUGCCCCGUUGCGGCAGAGCGCCACGACUGUCGUGCGCGUCUCGGUGUUCCUGCCGGUCCGUGAAGACGUGGUCGAGGGGAUUGCUCUUGUAUCAACGAAACGCCCGACAAGUUCGGGACGGACCGUACCCUAUAUCCGCAUCUGGUCUCCAAGGUUCGUAGCCUCUGCAGAGUCAGACACAUGUAGGUAAGGGAAGUCGGCAAACUCGAUCCGUAACUUCGGGAAAAGGAUUGGCUCUGAGGGCCGAGCUGGGCCGGGCCUUGCCUGCAAAGCAGUACCUAUAGUGACCGGAGUUUCAGGAGUGCGAGGGGCUCUAGUAGCUGCCUGCGCGUUCACGCGUGUGGGCACGAACGAGUCUACCGCUCCGCUCCAACCACGAACGGCUGUGACGGCAAAGGGCUCUGGGCGGGAGCGUUCAAACCGUUGGCCCCCAGCUCGUCUGGGUGGCGGCGGUGCUCCGUCUGACCCAUACGGCUCCAGCGGCUAGCGGCUAACUCAGAACUGUCAUGGACCAAGGGAAUCCGACUGUCUAAUUAAAACAAAGCGUCGUGACGGCCCC
rnacentral:rRNA from 1 species